UACGGAGGGGGCUAGCGUUGUUCGGAAUUACUGGGCGUAAAGCGCGUGUUGGCGGGUCUUUAAGUCAGGGGUGAAAUGCCAAGGCUCAACCUUGGAACUGCCUUUGAUACUGGGGAUCUCGAGUCCGGAAGAGGUGAGUGGAACUGCGAGUGUAGAGGUGAAAUUCGUAGAUAUUCGCAAGAACACCAGUGGCGAAGGCGGCUCACUGGUCCGGUACUGACGCUGAGGUGCGAAAGCGUGGGGAGCAAACAGG
rnacentral:rRNA from 1 species